CGGGGUGAGUAACACGUGAGCAACCUGCCUUUCAGAGGGGGACAACAGUUGGAAACGACUGCUAAUACCGCAUAAAAUGACGGAACCGCAUGAUUCUGUUAUCAAAGGAGAAAUCCGCUGAAAGAUGGGCUCGCGUCUGAUUAGAUAGUUGGUGAGGUAACGGCCCACCAAGUCGACGAUCAGUAGCCGGACUGAGAGGUUGAACGGCCACAUUGGGACUGAGACACGGCCCAGACUCCUACGGGAGGCAGCAG
rnacentral:rRNA from 1 species